ACGCCAGGGUGGAAGUGUGCUGUAGAUGAUUGUCAAGAGCUUCACAAGUGUGCUAAGUUUCUACAGGUGUAUCGUACAUGGUGUCUAGCUAGUGGCCUGGAUCGACAAUUUAUAGAGGUAGGGGCUUGAGUCGUGCCUUAUCAUGGUCAUGGUCAGUUGGUCGAUCAGGUGCUUAUCCUUGGGAUCUUUUCUUUUUUGAAACGACAAAUGCACUUAAGCACAUCAGUGAAAUCUGACUGAUUGGGUCAUGCAUGCAUCUUAUUGUCCAUGCAUGGAUUAAUUGGUGACCUCACCUCUACAUAUGUAUACCUGAAGAGUUUUGAUUCAGAUCAGCGUCGAAAUCACUAAUCGAUCAUUAAUACACAUGGCCCUAUCCUCCGACACUCCCUCCAUCGAGGCCGCCGCGACAGCCUCCCUCUGCCUGAGGCCAGCCUCCUCGCGCCCGACGCGGCAUUGCUCUCUCAGGCUGCCUCCAUUGAAAUUUCAUUGACUGCGGAUGAAUUUGGUCCCAUGCAGAUUUGCUUAGCUUUUGGUUCCAUGCAAAUUCGUUUAGUUCCAUACAAAUUUCAUAGACGGCGGAUGAAUAUUUUUUUUAUCUCAUAGAUUUCUUAGUUCUGAAAUAGGAUUGUGACUCUUUUUUUUUUUGUAAAUUUGUUGUUGUUUGUACAUAAUUUCAUUCGCUCCAUUGAAGGUUCGUAAAUUUCUCAUUGAUAUCUUGUUGAAAUUUCAUAGAUAUAUCAUUGAAAUCCAUGAUUUUGUUUUCGCACCGAUCGCAUUUCAUACAAAUCUUAUUGAAAUUUCACAAAUACAACAUUGAAAACCCAAACGUGCAAUUCUUUCAUUGAUACAUCAUUUAAAAUAUGUGUAUAUCAUUGAACUUUCAUUGACAAGUCAUUUAAAAUUUAAUUCGUUAGCAUCAGCCAUUUCAAUGGUAUAACAAUAAAAAAAUCGUUGGC
rnacentral:lncRNA from 1 species